rnacentral:rRNA from 1 species
AACUCGCCUGCAUGAAGGCGGAAUUGCUAGUAAUCGCGGAUCAGCAUGCCGCGGUGAAUACGUUCCCGGGCCUUGUACACACCGCCCGUCACACCAUGAGAGUUGGCAACACCCGAAGUCAGCAGGCAAACAGUGAAGCCGCUGCCGAAGGUGGGGUUGAUGAUUGGGGUGAAGUCGUAACAAGGUACC